rnacentral:rRNA from 1 species
AUGGCCGAGCGCUUCCCUGGUGACGGCGCGGCGGCGAACGGCUUCGGCCGCCGCCAUCUCCACGAAGACGAGGCUCGCCUCCUUUAUGAGGCCGGGUACCCGGUCCCGCCGGACAUGCGGGUGCCCGGCGCGUGGAGGAUCAGCGCCGGCGGCGUGCCGGUGCCACCACCACCCACCGGGGCGGCGCGGCGUGCGGAGAUCGCACGCAUCCGCGCGUCCCUACCGCGGCCGGCGAGGGAGGGGCCACGGUACGUCCCCGACAGCCCGCUCUGGGAGUCCUACUUCCGCCGCCGUCACACCGAGCAGCUCGAGGCCACCAACGGCGUCGAGCCCUCCGGCAGGCUCAACUCCAACGGCCGGCGCCGGUGGUGGGGCGUGCCCGGGCGCACGUUGGAGGCCGUCCUCGAGUACAUCGAGGGCGGCAACACGCCGCCCCUCGCGUACCCCGAUCCCCCGUCCUUCUCACGCCGCCGGGGAAGUUCCUGGACCCCGAGGCGCAUGGAGACCGGGGGGUCCUCCUCGUCAUCCGGCGGCUCGCCCUGCCUCCGCCCCGUCAAGCCGGAGCCCCAGGACACGCCGGUCAGUGCCCGCACGCGCAGCUCCGACGUCCGCAUCGGCGGCGCCAACGCCUCCCCACCCACCAGCCACUUCGUCCUCGUCAAGUCCAAGCCGGAGCGCGGCCUCCCCGCGGAGUACGAGGAGAUAGCCCGGCGCGGCAUCUCCGACGAGGACGCCCUGCGCUGGGCGCGGGACGACUACCUUCGCGACGAGAUGGUCCGGCAGCGCCGGGCCCUGGAGGAGAUCGCCGCCCGCAAGCGUGGGCGCGAGGACGAGCACUGCGUCGUGGUCCUCGACAGCGACGACGACGACGACGCCCCCGGACCGUCCAACCCGCCGCGCCAACCGGGGGAGGGAUGCAGCAGGGGCGACGGAGGCGCAGGCGGGGGGCGGCGACGACGACGACGACGGCGGCGGCGACUACACGCGGUUUUACCGCCUCCUCGGCAUGUAAAUCGCGUGGGCGGGCGGCGAGGGGGACGGCGGGGGUAG